UAACACAUGCAAGUCGAACGGCAGCACAGGGGAGCUUGCUCCCUGGGUGGCGAGUGGCGGACGGGUGAGGAAUACAUCGGAAUCUACCUUGUCGUGGGGGAUAACCUCGGGAAACCGGGACUAAUACCGCAUACGACCUACGGGUGAAAGCAGAGGACCGCAAGGCUUCGCGCGAUUGGAUGAGCCGAUGUCGGAUUAGCUUGUUGGCGGGGUAACGGCCCACCAAGGCGACGAUCCGUAGCUGGUCUGAGAGGAUGAUCAGCCACACUGGAACUGAGACACGGUCCAGACUCCUACGGGAGGCAGCAGUGGGGAAUAUUGGACAAUGGGCGAAAGCCUGAUCCAGCAACGCCGCGUGAGGGAUGACGGCCUUCGGGUUGUAAACCUCUUUCAGCAGGGAACGAAGCGCAAGUGACGGUACCUGCAGAA
rnacentral:rRNA from 1 species